GAUGAACGCUGGCGGCGUGCCUAACACAUGCAAGUCGAGCGGCAGCGAGUUUUACACUGAAUUCUGGAAGCUUCUAGUUGAAAGAGAAGAUUUAUUCAAGAAUUUUGUGUAAAAUGUCGGCGAGCGGCGGACGGCUGAGUAACGCGUGGGAACGUACCCCAAAGUGAGGGAUAACGCAUCGAAAGGUGUGCUAAUACCGCAUAUGGUCUUCGGAUUAAAGCCUUCGGGCGCUUUGGGAACGGCCUGCGUAAGAUUAGAUAGUUGGUGGGGUAAUGGCCUACCAAGUCGACGAUCUUUAACUGGUUUGAGAGGAUGAUCAGUCAGACUGGAACUGAGACACGGUCCAGACUCCUACGGGAGGCAGCAGUGAGGAAUCUUCCACAAUGGGCGAAAGCCUGAUGGAGCAACGCCGCGUGCAGGAUGAAGGCCUUCGGGUUGUAAACUGCUUUUAUAAGUGAGGAUUAUGACAGUAACUUAUGAAUAAGGAUCGGCUAACUACGUG
rnacentral:rRNA from 1 species